UUGCACUGAAAUUGAAAGUGAUCUUGUGGUUAAAAGGCUUAGAGACCACAGAUCUCCUGUGGGCCAAGACCUUUAAAACCCCUCCUCUCUGCUUUAGGGGCCUGGCGAGGACAUUUUCAAACAUGGCCACUGCUUUUGAGUGGUGUUGUUUUGGGGAGCUCUGCCAGAGACGUAGGGCCUGAUUUUUCAGAGGCAUUGAGCAUUUCAUGCAGAAAAGGUGCGGCAGAACAACACCACCCCUCCCAGCUCCAAUGGAAAUCCGUGAGCAUUGCCAGGGAUUUCAAAAUCGCCUCUGAAAAUCAGGCCCCGAGCGGCUCUAGUUAGGCUCCCAGAUUCAGGCUAUUCAUGCCAGGUAGCUCAGUGCACCUCGGUUGUGGAUGAGAAGGGAACCAAUUCGUCCCAGCCACCGUUCCUUUGAACCGAAGACCAGUGUAGCCUAAACAGCUUCUGUUUCCUCCUCCUCUCCAGAUUACGCCGGCCCACCGGAGCCAUAUAUCUGGCGCGCUGGAUCUCAACCACACUGCGCUCCGGAAAUCUCUGCAGGCUGCCCUGGAGAAAGUGGCUCCCAGGUGAAAAAAUGAAGUUGCCCACGCACACGUGCCGGCCGUCCUAAUGGAACAGAGCAGUAAAAUGACCUGGAGCCACCGAGGAUCUGGCAGGGUGGAAGAGGGCCCUUUUACCACUAGUGACUGUGAUGAGCGCUCUCUAACACAGGAAGAGGGCGGCUUUCAGAGCUGUAGUUACAGGCAGCAUAAUGGAGCUGUGAGAGUAAUGCCAGACUGGUGCCCCACAGCAUACGUCUGAAACGAAAACAUUUGUUGAGCGACUUCAAGAGGCAACCUGGCUCCCCCUUCAUCUAAAAGAUUCUGUGUAUGGAAAAUCCCAUAACUAAGGCAGAACUAAAAUUCUAGGGGAACUCCCGGCGUAACUCCCCUUAUUAACACCCCAUCUGUCCAAGGCACCUGUGUUCCUACUUGGGCUGUUUUCUUGCAUAAAAACUCUUCACGCACGAUGGCGCUCUCUGUAUAUUUGGAUCUCCUAAAGCAGAGGGUUUCUUGGCUAAGCUAGCUGAUGCUAGAGCAAACCAGCUCUCUGUAAAAACUAGUUUGGAUGAAAUAACUUCCUCUCCCUCCAGACCUUGACCUUCCUGGAGGUUCAGACUCCUCCGCCUUUUUACUUUCCCUUCGUGCAAGUGCCAAAAUAGCUGAUGAGGCUAGACUAUGAGCAGGCAGCACUAAAAACCUCUUCUCAUGAAACUUCCAGCCCAGUUGGGAAAGCAGAUGGCAUCGCUGAGGUGUUGAUUAAAACCAAACUGAGUGAACUGGAGAUGUUAUUGGGUAAGAGCAGUUUAUAAAGUGAGCCCUUUAUAAGUGAACUCCUUGCUCCAAAGGAAUGAAAUGUUUACAGGGGACCUGCCCAUGGGUUUCUGCAGUAAGCAUUCCCCCAACCCCUGCAGAAGAGAGCUUCAGCCUCUGUUAUCUCAGGAAAGGAGACAGUUUGCCUCUGGGUGUCUUCAACACUCAGUCUUGUCCUUUGGGCUCACUCACUUUGUGUUCAUUGAAGGGAUGUUAAAUUGCAAGUCA